AAUUCUCAACUUCAAAAGCUUUGUCUUAUUGAAGCUUGGAUGUGAAGGCUUGCUGGCGUCUUAGAUGUUCAGCUCCUUUGAAAUGUAUUAGUGGACCUGUUUGUGUUCAACCUUAGUGUGAUAAUUAUCUACGCUGUGGUUUUGAAUGCUUGCCCAUUAGAACUUCGAGGUGUUUCUACAUUCUCGGUGUGGAGAAUUGCAUGAACUUGCUUUCUCUGUUUAUUAUUGGGUUAAGGAUGUCUGCUUCUAACUGUCUACAUAUGUAGACAACUUUGAACC
rnacentral:misc_RNA from 1 species